AGAUUCCUAUAGCACUGGACAUGGCAGCUCAAUUUCGAGGAAAGGACUUCGAUCUUUGGAAGCGCAUAUGUGCAGAUGAAUAUAUGAAGUGUGCUGUAAUUGAAUGCUAUGAAUCAUUUAAAAACAUCCUGCAUGCUUUGAUAGUAGGAGAAGCUGAAACGAGGACAAUCUCUGUCAUCAUUAAGGAAGUUGAAAACAGCAUCUAUAAGAAUACACUUCUCACAAAUUUCCGAAUGGGGUUUUUGCCUUCCCUUUGUAAGAAGUUUGUGGAGCUUGUGGAAAUCUUGAAAGAUGCAGAUGCAUCUAAACAAGGUACAGUGGUGGUCUUAUUGCAAG
rnacentral:sRNA from 1 species